rnacentral:rRNA from 2 species
ACGGAGGAAAAGAAACCAACAGGGAUUGCCUCAGUAACGGCGAGUGAAGCGGCAAAAGCUCAAAUUUGAAAUCCCCCGGGAAUUGUAAUUUGAAGAGAUUUGGGUCCGGCCGGCAGGGGUUAAGUCCACUGGAAAGUGGCGCCACAGAGGGUGACAGCCCCGUGAACCCCUUCAAAGCCUUCAUCCCAGAUCUCCAAGAGUCGAGUUGUUUGGGAAUGCAGCUCUAAGUGGGUGGUAAAUUCCAUCUAAAGCUAAAUACCGGCGAGAGACCGAUAGCGAACAAGUACAGUGAUGGAAAGAUGAAAAGCACUUUGAAAAGAGAGUGAAAAAGUACGUGAAAUUGUUGAAAGGGAAGGGCUUGCAAGCAGACACUUAACUGGGCCAGCAUCGGGGCGGCGGGAAACAAAACCACCGGGGAAUGUACCUUUCGAGGAUUAUAACCCCGGCUCUUUAACUUCCUACUACCUGCCCCGAGGCCUGCAAUCUAAGGAUGCUGGCGUAAUGGCGGCAAGUCGCCCGUCUUAA